rnacentral:lncRNA from 1 species
GUGGGUGGGGUGUAAGUUCAGGUGCUAUUUUUAUCACUGUGGCUCUUGAAGGUAAAAAACUUAAGAACACAUGGGAGAAUAUAGGAAAUGAAAAGCUGCCUAUGAAGAUGUUGUCUGAGAAAUGAUGGCUUGAUAUACAUGAAUGAUCUUUUUCAGUCACAUCUGACUCUUCCUGACCCUGUGUUUAUUCACUGACUAAUUGACUAAUCAUCCUUGGAACACUGGCUGCUGAGGCCACUGAGCACUAAUGAAGGAGAGCAGAAAACUGAGCAACAGAAAUUACUUGAAACAAAUAGUGAUUUCUUUAUGUGAGGAAAUGGCCCUGCUUCACGAAAAUGAAGACAGAAUGUGAAGUCAUCAAGUCAACAAGUAUUUAAAAGCAGCUGCUGUGUGCCAGGUGCUGUGCUGAAUGUUGGGGAUUCCAAGUGAAGAGAAAAGAAUGGUGGAUCUGGGGUCAGAAGACCUGGGCUGAAGUCCAGAUCUGUGAUUUCAUUGUCAUAGGAAACGCCCACUACCCAUGCUGAGAGGCAUCUGAAUAAAAAAGUAAAUGAAAAAGAAUAAACA